UACAGAGGGUGCAAGCGUUGUUCGGAAUUAUUGGGCGUAAAGCGCGUGUAGGCGGCUUUGCAAGUCGGGUGUGAAAGCCCUCGGCUCAACCGAGGAAGUGCGCCCGAAACUGCAGAGCUUGAGUACCGGAGAGGGUAGCGGAAUUCCCUAAGUAGAGGUGAAAUUCGUAGAUAUGGGGAGGAACACCGGUGGCGAAGGCGGCUACCUGGACGGAUAUUGACGCUGAGAAGCGAAAGCAUGGGGAGCGAACAGG
rnacentral:rRNA from 1 species